rnacentral:misc_RNA from 1 species
AUGGGGCAAUAUUUAACAAAAACUGAAGAAAGUUCGCUCAAUUAUGUGGAUCUACCAGAUACUGUCCAUAGAAAAAUAUUUGAAUACUUGAAUCCAUGGGAAAUCUUCAAACUAUCUCGCAUUUCAAAAGCCAUUCAUGUGACGAUCCUUAAAAACAAAAAGUUCGCUGUAAAAGAUAUUGACUUAUGUACUGAUGAAAACAUUCUGAAAUUUCAAUUUCAAUUUGUGAACAAUAUCGUUUUGUCAUGGGAGUUUUACAAUCUUCACGAGAAACCAUAUUUUACCAGCCAAUUUUCAAAUCGUUGCCAGUAUAGACAACAGUAUGAUAUUAAAAAUUAUUAUGAAAACCCCGAGGAAGCAUUUCUUUUUGCAUUCCGAAAUGCGCUUUCAAUUUUUAAUGUGCAAAAUUCCAAAUUAAAAAGAUUUUAUCUAGCUCCAAGUAAACUUGAGUUGUUCUUCAAGUUACCGUACUCAUUCAUAGACGGCCGAAAUUGUGAAAACUUGAGUAUUUGGAAUAAGAAGGCGAAUGAUGAAGAUGAACGAGACUUUUCGAUCAAUUUCGCAAAAGCUGUUUUGGAAAAAAUGGGAGUCGUGAGAAAUUUGAGAUUAUUGUUCAAUUGUAGCACAAAGGAUAAUGAAUUUGAUUGUGAAAAGGAAUACUACAAUUCUGAAACGGAUAAGUUGAUGCCAAAUGAUUGGUACUUGUACAACAAAUUCGAUGAUAUAGAUCUUAAUGUAUUUCUGAAAAACUGGCUCAACUUCAGAGAUCCUUUAAUUAGAAAAUUCCGUAUUCGAGGAAAACGAAAUUUCAAUACAGCAAUUAUUUUUGAUGGAAUUGAAACAAUUCCAUGGGAUCAAAGAAAUGGUUUAAAUGUAUAUUAUUAUUCUGCAACUGCAAAUGAUACUGGAUCUUUGAUAUUUCAAGCAAACGAAAAUCAUGCAAUCGUUAAAGUUGGAGCAAUAAAUGGAAAUGAGAGCUCUGGUUAUAUGGAAUUUUUAUUCAUUACAUUUUAAGCUCGUCGGAUAAAUUUUUGGCACUUUUUUUGAUUUUCCAAAACUUCUGGAAACGAUUAAUUUUAACAUAGAAUCAAGAGCCUAUAAGCUAAUCAAAGCUUCAACACACAUAGUUUUCAAACAAUUUCCGGAUGGCUCCGUUAGCAUUUUCAAUGAACAUUUAUUUUCCCUUUCCAAGUAUCCCGUGACGAAAAAUCAGGCCAUAAAAAUCCGCUACCUCCAAACGCGGGAAUUCAAAUCGAAUUAUGAAAAUUUGGAAUGGUAUAAAAGGAAGCUGCAGGAGGAAAUUAAUUCAGUAUCAGCCAACAUGAACAGCCUUUUGAUUGCUUCUCUCCUCAUUCUCGGGGUUUCCAGCCAAUCGACGAUAAUCAACCCGAAUUUCAACAAACAUUCUUCGGAAUCAUCGGAUCAGCCAAAGAAAAUCCUUGUAGCACCAAUGCUGAUUGUUUGCCAAGUGGAAAUUGUGUAGAUGGAGAAUGCCUUGUAGACAACGGAAACGGAGGUCUUUGCACAACCAAUACGCAAUGCCCAAAUGGAUAUCAAUGUGUUAAUCGGAAAUGCUCCAGGAAUAGUCGUCAUUUCAAUGAUCUGCCAUGUGUCACUGAAACUGAAUGUCCACCAGGAACCAGAUGUAUCAACGGAGUCUGUACUGGCAUUGAUAACAAGUUCUAUUAAGUUUUUCAUUUAAAAUAAAGUACGUUGUUUAAUAAAAUCAUUUUGG